rnacentral:piRNA from 1 species
UGCCCAGAAGUUUUGCUUAAAUUGGUGUGUC